GAUUCUAGGGACACAACCAGAUGCUUCUCUGACAAUUCUCCCGGUACUCUCUCCACAAACCACAGAAUGGCCAUAGAGACUGCAGUAGCUCAAUAAUAAGUCUGAAGAAUAUUGAUUAGUUUAGUAGCUGUAAUUUUGUACCUAUUACACUACUGUAUUCAACAACAUUUCAAUGAUGAAAACUGGAUCCUGUGUUGCCAAGUAACAGCAGAAUGUGAUCAAGAUGGCAAAAUUGUUAAUGAGGGAGAACACACAAGAUAAUGCCCCUUCUCCCUCAUUGCUGAGAUAAGUGACUGCAAACUACAUUUGCAUUUAGGAAUCAAUUUACAUCAAUGGAAGGAAAGCUGAAAACAAAGCAAGAAAGUAAGAGGAAAAGAAAGAAACUGGACCAUUUUAAAAGCAUCUGAACAAGUAUGGUUACACAGGAUUAAUUGGGACUAGUCUUGAAAAAUGGGAACAGUUGGGAUGCAUGUAUUAUGUGUUAUGCUGAGACUUACACAAUUUUGACCUAUGCAUAUUAAAGGGGAAGGCAAAGAUGUCUUGUUCCACUUCCUAUUUCUGAUAUAAUAGCUUACCUUAACCAGGGAAGGCUUUUUUUGUGGGAAAACAUACCAGAAUAUAGCCUGAAGUGGUACCCUCCGGAAAAACCUUCAUUUUCUGACUACACUUCUAUAAACUAUUCUUACACAAAUGUAUGCAUGAAACCCAUACACUCAAAUAAAUCAAAGAGCCUAACUCCAGAUUCUAACAGUCACUGAAGAAUCUAUGCUGCUACAUUAUGCCUAGUGUGAUUUCCAGGUAGAGCCACAAUUGCUUAGGUCUCCCUCUCCCCAAACAUUGUUUCUCACCAAACAAGCUCCAUUAAUUGUCUAAUAACCGGAUUAAUUAGGGACACUGAAAGUAAACAACAAGAAUGUAAUUUGCCUCUGAUUGCUAUGUAAUAGCGGGGAGGACAAACUCAUUUGCAUAUGCGAAAAGUACUGUUGAUUGAGGCAAUAUAAUCAUGGAUAACAAUUCAUGGUGUAGAAACCUGCUCCUGGGAAUUUUUGACCCUCACUCAACUUUUUUGCAAGGCUAGCUGUUGUCAGUUCCCUUCCCAUUGUUUCGUUGAACAAGCCCAUUUCUUAUUAAAAAUGUUACUUUAGAUAGAUACCUUCCUGCUAUUUAAUAGAGAAAUGUGUCUCUGGUGCUAAAGUGAACCUGUGUAAGUAGAGGCUGUUGAGUAAGGAAAGCAAAUAACCAGAUUUUCCUUAAAAAGUAGAAACAGCCUUCUAUCUGUUGUCGAAGGCUUUCAUGGCCGGGAUCACAGGGUUGUUGUAUGUUUUCUGGGCUGUAUGGCCAUGUUCUAGAAGUAUUCUCUCCUGACAUUUCACCCACAUCUAUGGCUGGCAUCCUCAGAGGUUGUGAGGUAUGGAGAAACUAAGCAAGGAAGAUUUAUAUAUAUCUGUGGAAAGUCCAGAAUGGAAAAGAGA
rnacentral:lncRNA from 1 species